UGGCUCUGGCAUNGAUGAAGAACGCAGCGAAAUGCGAUAAGUAAUGCGAAUUGCAGAAUUCAGUGAAUCAUCGAAUCUUUGAACGCACAUUGCGCCCACUAGUAUUCUAGUGGGCAUGCCUAUCCGAGCGUCAUUACGACCCUUAAGCCCCUGUAGCUUAGCGUUGGGAAUCUACGUUUAGGCGUAGUUCCUCAAAAUUAGUGGCGGAUUUACAGCACACCCAAAGCGUAGUAAUUUACCCCGUUCUUGGAGUGGCCGUAGCUUCUGGCCGUAAAACUUACCCUAUACUUUCUAGUGGUUGACCUCGGAUUAGGUAGGAAUACCCGCUGA
rnacentral:misc_RNA from 1 species